rnacentral:rRNA from 1 species
GAUGAACGCUGGCGGCGUGCUUAACACAUGCAAGUCGAACGAAGCACCUGGUCACGAUCCCUUCGGGGUGACGACCUUGUGACUGAGUGGCGGACGGGUGAGUAACGCGUGGGAAACCUGCCAUGUACUGGGGGAUAACAGUUGGAAACGACUGCUAAUACCGCAUAAAACUGUCGGAUCGCAUGAUCUGAUAGCCAAAACUCCGGUGGUACAUGAUGGUCCCGCGUCUGAUUAGGCAGUUGGCGGGGUAACGGCCCACCAAACCGACGAUCAGUAGCCGACCUGAGAGGGUGACCGGCCACAUUGGGACUGAGACACGGCCCAGACUCCUACGGGAGGCAGCAGUGGGGAAUAUUGCACAAUGGAGGAAACUCUGAUGCAGCGACGCCGCGUGAGCGAUGAAGUAUUUCGGUAUGUAAAGCUCUAUCAGCAGGGAAGAUAAUGACAGUAC